rnacentral:rRNA from 1 species
UGCGCAGGCGGGCUUGUAAGUCAGUGGUGAAAUACUGCCGCUUAACGGUAGAACUGCCAUUGAUACUGCAAGUCUUGAAUAUGGUUGAGGUAGGCGGAAUGUGUCGUGUAGCGGUGAAAUGCAUAGAUAUGACACAGAACGCUAAUUGCGAAGGCAGCUUACUAAGCCAUUAUUGACGCUGAGGCACGAAAGCGUGGGGAGCGAACAGGAUUAGAUACCCUGGUAGUCC